UAGGGAAUAUUGCACAAUGGGCGAAAGCCUGAUGCAGCAACGCCGCGUGCGUGAUGAAGGUCUUCGGAUCGUAAAGCGCUUUUCUGGGAGAUGAGAAAGGACAGUAUCCCAGGAAUAAGUCUCGGCUAACUACGUGCCAGCAGCCGCGGUAAAACGUAGGAGGCAAGCGUUAUCCGGAUUCACUGGGCGUAAAGCGCGUGCAGGCGGUGCGGUAAGUUGGGCGUGAAAGCUCUCGGCUCAACUGGGAGAGGUCGUCCAAUACUACCGUACUCGAGAGUAGAAGAGGAAAAUGGAAUUCCCGGUGUAGUGGUGAAAUGCGUAGAUAUCGGGAGGAACACCAGUGGCGAAGGCGAUUUUCUGGUCUAUUUCUGACGCUCAGACGCGACAGCUAGGGUAGUAAACGGGAUUAGAGACCCCGGUAAUCCUAGCCGUAAACGAUGUGAACUUGGCGUUGGUGGGUUAAACUCCAUCAGUGCCGUAGCAAACGCGAUAAGUUCACC
rnacentral:rRNA from 1 species